rnacentral:rRNA from 1 species
GAUGAACGCUGGCGGCGUGCCUAAUACAUGCAAGUCGAGCGAACAGAUGAGAAGCUUGCUUCUCUGAUGUUAGCGGCGGACGGGUGAGUAACACGUGGGUAACCUACCUAUGAGACUGGGAUAACUCCGGGAAACCGGGGCUAAUACCGGAUAAUAUUUUGAACCGCAUGGUUCAAUAGUGAAAGACGGGUUCGGCUGUCACUUAUAGAUGGACCCGCGCGGUAUUAACUAGUUGGUAAGGUAACGGCUUACCAAGGCGACGAUACGUAGCCGACCUGAGAGGGUGAUCGGCAACACUGGAACUGAGAGACGGUCACGCCUCCUACGGGAGGCAGCAGUAGGGAAUCUUCCGCAAUGGGCGAAAGCCUGACGGAGCAACGCCGCGUGAGUGAUGAAGGUCUUCGGAUCGUAAAACUCUGUUGUUAGGGAAGAACAAACUUCUUAGUAACUGAACAAGUCUUGACGGUACCUAACCAGAAAGCCACGGCUAACUACGUGCCAGCAGCCGCUGUAA